rnacentral:rRNA from 1 species
GACAUCCCGGGAAGCUCUAUNRAAGUAGAGCGUGCCUCUUUGAGGAACCUGGUGACAGGUGCUGCAUGGCUGUCGUCAGCUCGUGUCGUAAGAUGUUGGGUUAAGUCCCGCAACGAGCGCAACCCUUGUCGUUAGUUGCCAUCAUUUAGUUGGGCACUCUAACGAGACUGCCGGUGUCAAACCGGAGGAAGGUGGGGAUGACGUCAAGUCCUCAUGGCCUUUAUGAUCAGGGCUACACACGUACUACAAUGGCCGGUACAAAGGGCAGCCACAGGGCGACCUGGAGCUAAUCUCGUAAAGCCGGUCUCAGUCCGGAUUGGAGUCUGCAACUCGACUCCAUGAAGUUGGAAUCGCUAGUAAUCGUAGAUCAGCAUGCUACGGUGAAUACGUUCCCGGGCCUUGUACACACCGCCCGUCACACCACGGGAGUUGGUUGUACCAGAAGUAGUUGAGCGAACUAUUCGUAGGCGCAGGCUACCAAGGUAUGAUUGGUAACUGGGGUGAAGUCGUAACAAGGUA